rnacentral:rRNA from 1 species
GAUGAACGCUGGCGGCGUGCUUAACACAUGCAAGUCGAACGGAAAGGCCCAAGCUUGCUUGGGUACUCGAGUGGCGAACGGGUGAGUAACACGUGGGUGAUCUGCCCUGCACUUCGGGAUAAGCCUGGGAAACUGGGUCUAAUACCGGAUAGGACGAUGGUUUGGAUGCCAUUGUGGAAAGUUUUUUCGGUGUGGGAUGAGCUCGCGGCCUAUCAGCUUGUUGGUGGGGUAAUGGCCUACCAAGGCGUCGACGGGUAGCCGGCCUGAGAGGGUGUACGGCCACAUUGGGACUGAGAUACGGCCCAGACUCCUACGGGAGGCAGCGGUGGGGAAUAUUGCACAAUGGGCGCAAGCCUGAUGCAGCGACGCCGCGUGGGGGAUGACGGCCUUCGGGUUGUAAACUCCUUUCGCUAGGGACGAAGCGUUUUGUGACGGUACCUGGAGAAGAAGCACCGGCUAACUACGUG